GAGGUCCCACCUGCCCUGUGACUUUAAGUUUAACGGCCGCGGUAUCCUAACCGUGCGAAGGUAGCGCAAUCAAUUGCCUUUUAAAUGAAGGCCUGUAUGAAUGGUAUAACGAGGGUCUGACUGUCUCUUUUUCCUAGUCAGUUAAACUGAUCUGUCCGUGCAGAAGCGGGCAUUACUAUACAAGACGAGAAGACCCUAUGGAGCUUUAGACGUUAGCCACCAUGAACAAGCAGCUUAAGACCACACAAGCCUCAAACACCCAUGAACCCUGGUAAGACAGUCUUAGGUUGGGGCGACCGCGGGAGAAAACAAAGCUCCCAAGCAGACUGGGGAAACCCUCAAGCCAAGAGUUACAACUCUAAGCCACAAAAAUUUUGACUGAGAUGAUCCGAUCUAACGAUCGAUUAACGAACCAAGUUACCCUAGGGAUAACAGCGCAAUCCCCUCCCAGAGUCCCUAUCGACGAGGGGGUUUACGACCUCGAUGUUGGAUGAGGACAUCCUAAUGGUGCAGCCGCUAUUAA
rnacentral:rRNA from 1 species